AAGGCAGGAGAAUGGGGUUGAGAGGGAAAGAUAGAACAGCCAUGAUUGAAUGAUGGGGUAGACUCGAUGGGCUGAAUGGCCCAAUUCUCCUCCUAUCUCUUAUGGUCACGGUCAGGAUCGAACC